GGGUGCGGGCGGGCUUGGGGGGCCCGGCGGCCGGGAGGCCGGUGGGCUCUUGUUUUAAUGCACCUGCAGCGCCCGAGAGCUGAUUUCGCUGAGGCGGGGGGACGCCACUUCCACCCACCCCUGGGCGUCCGUGAGCCUCCGCCGUACUUGAAGGGAGUUACUUUAAUCUGUCUUCUUGUCGUCUUCAGUUUUCCGACAGAUGCUGCUUCGAACGUUGUGCUUUGACGCAAGCAUGCAGGUUUUCGCCCAGCUCACGCUCUCGAGAUUUGAAGUCUGAAAAUCUGAGAUCUCAGUAUUCUGCAGGCUCAAGCCAAGCUAACUGGAAGCUAGAGGAUGAAGAAUGGGAGUUUAUGGUUUGACACAGUUGCUUCUUUGUCAGCCUCCACCAGGCAUCUCAGCGCCUGUGAUUAGUGAUGUUACAUGUAACUUGAGAACAGCUCUCUCCCUGCAAAUAGUGUAGAAGGCACACCGAUUCCAAGGGUG